rnacentral:rRNA from 1 species
GGUUAAGCGACUAAGCGUACACGGUGGAUGCCCUGGCAGUCAGAGGCGAUGAAGGGCGUGCUAAUCUGCGAUAAGCGCCGGUAAGGUGAUAUGAACCGUUAUAACCGGCGAUACCCGAAUGGGGAAACCCAGUGUGAUUCGUCACACUAUCAUUAACUGAAUCCAUAGGUUAAUGAGGCGAACCGGGGGAACUGAAACAUCUAAGUACCCCGAGGAAAAGAAAUCAACCGAGAUUCCCCCAGUAGCGGCGAGCGAACGGGGAGGAGCCCAGAGCCUGAAUCAGCAUGUGUGUUAGUGGAAGCGUCUGGAAAGGCGCGCGAUACAGGGUGACAGCCCCGUACACAAAAGCGCAUGUGCUGUGAGCUCGAUGAGUAGGGCGGGACACGUGGUAUCCUGUCUGAAUAUGGGGGGACCAUCCUCCAAGGCUAAAUACUCCUGACUGACCGAUAGUGAACCAGUACCGUGAGGGAAAGGCGAAAAGAACCCCGGCGAGGGGAGUGAAAAAGAACCUGAAACCGUGUACGUACAAGCAGUGGGAGCACAGGUUUACCUGUGUGACUGCGUACCUUUUGUAUAAUGGGUCAGCGACUUAUAUUCUGUAGCAAGGUUAACCGAAUAGGGGAGCCGGAGGGAAACCGAGUCUUAAUUGGGCGUUAAGUUGCAGGGUAUAGACCCGAAACCCGGUGAUCUAGCCAUGGGCAGGUUGAAGGUUGGGUAACACUAACUGGAGGACCGAACCGACUAAUGUUGAAAAAUUAGCGGAUGACCUGUGGCUGGGGGUGAAAGGCCAAUCAAACCGGGAGAUAGCUGGUUCUCCCCGAAAGCUAUUUAGGUAGCGCCUCGUGAAUUCAUCUCCGGGGGUAGAGCACUGUUUCGGCUAGGGGGCCAUCCCGGCUUACCAACCCGAUGCAAACUGCGAAUACCGGAGAAUGUUAUCACGGGAGACACACGGCGGGUGCUAACGUCCGUCGUGAAGAGGGAAACAACCCAGACCGCCAGCUAAGGUCCCAAAGUCAUGGUUAAGUGGGAAACGAUGUGGGAAGGCCCAGACAGCCAGGAUGUUGGCUUAGAAGCAGCCAUCAUUUAAAGAAAGCGUAAUAGCUCACUGGUCGAGUCGGCCUGCGCGGAAGAUGUAACGGGGCUAAACCAUGCACCGAAGCUGCGGCAGCGACACUGUGUGUUGUUGGGUAGGGGAGCGUUCUGUAAGCCUGUGAAGGUGGCCUGUGAGGGUUGCUGGAGGUAUCAGAAGUGCGAAUGCUGACAUAAGUAACGAUAAAGCGGGUGAAAAGCCCGCUCGCCGGAAGACCAAGGGUUCCUGUCCAACGUUAAUCGGGGCAGGGUGAGUCGACCCCUAAGGCGAGGCCGAAAGGCGUAGUCGAUGGGAAACGGGUUAAUAUUCCCGUACUUGGUGUUACUGCGAAGGGGGGACGGAGAAGGCUAUGUUGGCCGGGCGACGGUUGUCCCGGUUUAAGCGUGUAGGUGUGUGUUCCAGGUAAAUCCGGUUCACUUUAACACUGAGGCGUGACGACGAGGCACUACGGUGCUGAAGCAACAAAUGCCCUGCUUCCAGGAAAAGCCUCUAAGCAUCAGGUAACAUCAAAUCGUACCCCAAACCGACACAGGUGGUCAGGUAGAGAAUACCAAGGCGCUUGAGAGAACUCGGGUGAAGGAACUAGGCAAAAUGGUGCCGUAACUUCGGGAGAAGGCACGCUGACACGUAGGUGAAGUGAUUUACUCACGGAGCUGAAGUCAGUCGAAGAUACCAGCUGGCUGCAACUGUUUAUUAAAAACACAGCACUGUGCAAACACGAAAGUGGACGUAUACGGUGUGACGCCUGCCCGGUGCCGGAAGGUUAAUUGAUGGGGUCAGCGCAAGCGAAGCUCCUGAUCGAAGCCCCGGUAAACGGCGGCCGUAACUAUAACGGUCCUAAGGUAGCGAAAUUCCUUGUCGGGUAAGUUCCGACCUGCACGAAUGGCGUAAUGAUGGCCAGGCUGUCUCCACCCGAGACUCAGUGAAAUUGAACUCGCUGUGAAGAUGCAGUGUACCCGCGGCAAGACGGAAAGACCCCGUGAACCUUUACUAUAGCUUGACACUGAACAUUGAGCCUUGAUGUGUAGGAUAGGUGGGAGGCUUUGAAGUGUGGACGCCAGUCUGCAUGGAGCCGACCUUGAAAUACCACCCUUUAAUGUUUGAUGUUCUAACGUGGACCCGUAAUCCGGGUUGCGGACAGUGUCUGGUGGGUAGUUUGACUGGGGCGGUCUCCUCCUAAAGAGUAACGGAGGAGCACGAAGGUUGGCUAAUCCUGGUCGGACAUCAGGAGGUUAGUGCAAUGGCAUAAGCCAGCUUGACUGCGAGCGUGACGGCGCGAGCAGGUGCGAAAGCAGGUCAUAGUGAUCCGGUGGUUCUGAAUGGAAGGGCCAUCGCUCAACGGAUAAAAGGUACUCCGGGGAUAACAGGCUGAUACCGCCCAAGAGUUCAUAUCGACGGCGGUGUUUGGCACCUCGAUGUCGGCUCAUCACAUCCUGGGGCUGAAGUAGGUCCCAAGGGUAUGGCUGUUCGCCAUUUAAAGUGGUACGCGAGCUGGGUUUAGAACGUCGUGAGACAGUUCGGUCCCUAUCUGCCGUGGGCGCUGGAGAACUGAGGGGGGCUGCUCCUAGUACGAGAGGACCGGAGUGGACGCAUCACUGGUGUUCGGGUUGUCAUGCCAAUGGCACUGCCCGGUAGCUAAAUGCGGAAGAGAUAAGUGCUGAAAGCAUCUAAGCACGAAACUUGCCCCGAGAUGAGUUCUCCCUGAGACUUUAAGUCUCCUGAAGGAACGUUGAAGACGACGACGUUGAUAGGCCGGGUGUGUAAGCGCAGCGAUGCGUUGAGCUAACCGGUACUAAUGAACCGUGAGGCUUAACCUU